rnacentral:rRNA from 1 species
UACGGGGGGGGGCAAGCGUUGUUCGGAAUUACUGGGCGUAAAGGGCGUGUAGGCGGCUUAACAAGUCAGAUGUGAAAUCCCGGGGCUUAACCUCGGAAGUGCAUUUGAAACUGUUAGGCUAGAGUGAGGUAGAGGUUGGUGGAAUUCCCAGUGUAGAGGUGAAAUUCGUAGAUAUUGGGAGGAACACCGGUGGCGAAGGCGGCCAACUGGGCCUUAACUGACGCUGAGGCGCGAAAGCGUGGGGAGCAAACAGG